AGGUAUCAAACACUCUAUCUGUGUCCCAGGACCUGCCCAUUGAUGAUACUGCAGAAAAGGCGAAGAACGAGAUUUCUUUAACUCCUGAUGUGAAGCCCAACUUGGAAUCUGCUUUAGAAACAGUAGCAAUGGAGGGUGAAGCUGUUGUGUUGCUUGAUAUUAGUCCGGUUGAAUCAUAUCCCUUGCAGAGCAUUGAUAAGGAAGAAAAUCUUUCUGGAACAAAUGGGGAGUUAAGCUCCAAGGAGGACCAAGCCUGCCAUGAAAACCAGAAAAUGAGCAAGAGGAGGGCUUCUUUCUCAGCAAAGACGGAAUGUGCUGAUAAUGGUCUGCAGAACACACCGCCAGUUCCUAGCUAUAUGUUAACAACACAAUCUGCGAAAGCAAAAUUACGGGGACAAAGUUCACCAAGGCUCGUUUCAGAAUCAGUUGAUAGAAAUGAUUACACCCGCCGACAUUCUCUGCCAUCUUCGACCAAUGGAAAGCUGAGUUCCCACUCUCCACGAACACAAAAGUUAGUUCAAGCAAAUGGCAAGGGUGGCAUCAAAACUG
rnacentral:misc_RNA from 1 species